UCUCUCCCCUUGGGCUGGGCUUUGGCUUCGAUGAGUCAGGCUGACUGUGCCUGGAACGGACUGUCUGCCAAGGAGGAGUCAGCCUGAGAACAGCCAGGGGAGGCAGCUUGCCACUGGGGGACCAGCGGGUCUCCUCUCCUUGGUGCGCGCAGUGUCCCUGCCUCGGAGACCCGCCCUGCAGACCCCACCCGAGGCGUUCCGGGCCGGCGAGCUGCUGGAUCCCCGGGGAGCUGGGCAGGAAGCCCUGCGUUCCCACUGGCGCUGGCGCUGGCGAUCCUUGAUGCUGACCCGUCCCGCCUUCCUCUGAGCGAGGCCUUCCCAUCUCUUCUCUCACCUGCCACACAGCGCCACGCCACGGCCCUGACCUCCCACAGCACCUGCCACACAGCGCCACGCCACGGCCCUGACCUCCCACAGCACCUGCCACACAGCACCACGCCACGGCCCUGACCGCCCACAGCACCUGCCACACAGCACCACGCCACGGCCCUGACCUCCCACAGCACCUGCCAUACAGCACCACGCCACGGCCCUGACCUCCCACAGCUGCCACACAGCACCACGCCACGCCCUGACCUCCCACAGCACCUGCCAUACAGCACCACGCCACGGCCCUGACCUCCCACAGCUGCCACACAGCACCACGCCACGGCCCUGACCUCCCAUAGCUGCCACACAGCACCAUGCCACGGCCCUGACCUCCCACAGCUGCCACACAGCACCAUGCCACGGCUCUGACCUCCCACAGCACCUGCCAUACAGCACCACGCCACGGCCCUGACCUCCCACAGCACCUGCCACACAGUGCCACGCCACGGCCCUGACCUCCCACAGCUGCCACACAGCACCAUGCCACGGCCCUGACCUCCCACAGCUGCCACACAGCACCAUGCCACGGCUCUGACCUCCCACAGCACCUGCCAUACAGCACCACGCCACGGCCCUGACCUCCCACAGCUGCCACACAGCACCAUGCCACGGCCCUGACCUCCCACAGCUGCCACACAGCACCAUGCCACGGCUCUGACCUCCCACAGCACCUGCCACACAGCACCACGCCACGGCCCUGACCUCCCACAGCUGCCACACAGCACCAUGCCAUGGCCCUGACCUCCCACAGCACCUGCCACACAGCGCCACGCCACGGCCCUGACCUCCCACAGCACCUGCCACACAGCACCACACCACGGCCCUGACCUCCCACAGCACCUGCCACACAGCGCCACGCCACGGCCCUGACCUCCCACAGCACCUGCCACACAGCACCAUGCCACGGCCCUGACCUCCCACAGCACCUGCCACACAGCACCAUGCCACGGCUCUGACCUCCCACAGCACCUGCCACACAGCACCACGCCACGGCCCUGACCUCCCACAGCAAACAAACGAGAAGACACCCUGCUCCCAGGGUUGGCUCAGGAGAUCCAAGGUCAGCGAGCCAGGCGCUGCCCUCACCCCCACAGCCACGUGGGGACAGACAACAAAGUGUCCGAACAGGGAUGGGAUGUGUUCUCAUGAUGCUGCAAUAAAUUUCACAAUAGCUACAACUAUUUUGCUAUAAAAUAUG